GAUUUACUGGGCGUAAAGGGCGCGUAGGCGGCCUGUGCAAGUCAGUUGUGAAAUCUCCGAGCUUAACUCGGAAAGGUCAACUGAUACUGCUCGGCUAGAGUGCGGAAGGGGCAACUGGAAUUCUUGGUGUAGCGGUGAAAUGCGUAGAUACCAAGAGGAACACCUGCGGCGAAGGCGGGUUGCUGGGCCGACACUGACGCUGAGGCGCGAAAGCUAGGGGAGCGAACGGGAUUAGAUACCCCGGUAGUCCUAGCCUUAAACGAUGAAUGCUUGGUGUCUGGGGUUAUAUAGUCCCCGGGUGCCGUCGCUAACGCUUUAAGCAUUCCGCCUGGGGAGUACGGUCGCAAGACUGAAACUCAAAGGAAUUGACGGGGACCCGCACAAGCGGUGGAGCAUGUGGUUUAAUUCGACGCAACGCGAAGAACCUUACCUGGGCUAGAAUGCCUCUGACAACCCUAGAGAUAGGGCCUUCUGGGUAAAACCAGACAGAGUGCAAGGUGCUGCAUGGCU
rnacentral:rRNA from 1 species